GACGAACGCUGGCGGCGUGCUUAACACAUGCAAGUCGAGCGGUAAGGCCCUUUCGGGGUACACGAGCGGCGAACGGUGAGUAACACGUGGGUGACCUGCCCUCAGCUCUGGGAUAAGCCUGGGAAACUGGGUCUAAUACCGGAUAUGACUCCAUGAACGCAUGUUGUGGGGUGGAAAGCCUUGUCGCGGCUGAGGAUGGGCCCGNGGCCUAAUCAGCUU
rnacentral:rRNA from 1 species